UAAUACCAGCCCAUAUUCUAUCGCACAUGAUCUAAUUUUCUUCUUCUCCUUGCACGAAAAAAGAUUAGUAUUGAAUCUUGAAUUCUUGAUGCUUAUAUAAAUUAGACUACAAACCAACAACUUCUCCAAAGUUUGGGGAAAAUGUCAACCCAAAUGUCAUCUAUGAUGAGUCUCACAACAACCCCAUCUCUCAGAUUACCCCAUUUGCAACCCCAAUUUGCCAAUUUUCCCAAGAUUCAGUUUUUAUCUUUUGUCAACUCUAAUGUGAGGCCUAGGGUUUGUAAAAAAGGGAGUGCUUCAAUUAGAGCUGAAGCAAGUAGCAACAUUGAUAUGGGUUUUGUACAGCAAGCAAUAGGAUUAGUCCAAGCUUCACCGCCCACCUGGCAAUCUGCUAUCUUUAGUAAUACAGCUAUAUUUCUUGUGGGUUCUCCAGUUCUUGUUUCCGGCUUGUCUCUCUCGGGCAUUGCUGCUGCUUUCUUGCUUGGUUCGCUUACUUGGCGUGCUUUCGGUCCCUCUGGGUAUCUUCUUGUUGCUGCCUAUUUUGUUCUUGGAACGGCAGCAACAAAAGUGAAAAUGGCUGAAAAGGAAGCUCAAGGUGUUGCUGAGAAGAGAAAGGGAAGAAGGGGACCAGGAAGUGUGAUAGGUUCCAGUGCAGCUGGUUGUGUUUGUGCAUUGCUUUCCAUUUAUGGAGUUGGCGGGAGUGCAGUAUCUCGGCUCUGGGAACUCGGUUUUGUUGCCAGUUUCUGUACUAAGUUGAGUGAUACUGUCUCAAGUGAAAUAGGGAAGGCAUACGGGAGAACAACGUACCUAGUAACAACAUUUAAGGUAGUUCCAAGGGGAACGGAAGGAGCUGUUAGUCUUGAGGGAACCUUUGCUGGAGUUCUGGCUGCAAUUCUUCUUGCCUCCUCUGGUAUUUUAUUAGGCCAGAUUAGCACACUUGAAGCUGUCAUAUGCGUACUAGCUGCCCAGAUUGCUAAUGUUGGUGAAAGCCUGAUAGGUGCUGCACUCCAGGACAAAGAAGGGUUUGGAUGGCUCAACAACGAUGUUGUCAAUGUCAUCAAUAUAUCCAUUGGAAGCAUUCUAGCAAUCGUGAUUAAGCAACUUGUACUGCAAAACUAGUACAUCUAUUUGCACUGCAGCAAUGGUAUAUUAGAAGCUGGCAGAACUUGCUGAUAUUACCAAAAUGACAUGUAAAUUUUAAUUUGACUGCCAUGAUUGGAAUUCUAGUCUAUUUGCACAGCAGCAAUGAUAUUUUAGGAGCUGGCAGAAUUUGCUGAUAUUACCCGUAUGACAUUUUCUGCGGGAAAAACAUCUGCAGAUCCAUCUACAGCAUGAGCCAACCAAGCUGCUUCUAGGUUAUACAACUGCUCGGUCAUUCUGUUGUACGAUAUACUAAAUUCUCUCGGCUCUCUGAUGAAUGUACCAGGAGAGCCCUAUUCAUUUUGGUGCACAUCAUAGUUUUUAUGUCAUCGAGUUAUCAACUUAGGAAUGUGCUGAAUUUUAUUGUGAUUUUAGAACUCAGAAACGCAUAUUUCAAGUGUCAAAGGAAAGGAAUCCUGUUACUGCUACAUGGUUAAUAGGGAUGCUGCUCCCAAUAUUAUAUGAAAAAUCGCUUAUAACA